UACGGGGGGUCCAAGCGUUGUCCGGAAUCACUGGGCGUAAAGCGUGUGUAGGUGGCUUUUCAAGUCGUGUGUGAAAGCCCGGGGCCUAACCCCGGAAGUGCACCCGAUACUGUUAAGCUUGAGUACCAGAGAGGAUAGUGGAAUUCCAGGUGUAGUGGUGAAAUACGUAGAUAUCUGGAGGAACACCGGCGGCGAAGGCGGCUAUCUGGCUGAAUACUGACACUGAAACACGAAAGCGUGGGGAUCAAACAGG
rnacentral:rRNA from 1 species